UCAACCCUGGGGCGGGGGGCGAUACUGCCGGACUAGGGGGCGGAAGAGGCCGCCGGUACUCCGGGGGUAGGGGCGAAAUCCGUUAAUCCCCGGAGGACCACCAGUGGCGAAAGCGGGCGGCCAGAACGCGCCCGACGGUGAGGGGCGAAAGCCGGGGGAGCAAACCGGGCUCAGGUCGGCGUUGCGCAGACAAUCUAAUCAUCCAGUCCCACCACGCGCGUCAACCCCCUCAUCUUCAAGCCGACCUGGCCCGGGCUCAAAGGGGAUUAGAUACCCCCGUAGUCC
rnacentral:rRNA from 1 species